CUGGAGGUAUCAGAAGUGCGAAUGCUGACAUAAGUAACGAUAAAGCGGGUGAAAAGCCCGCUCGCCGGAAGACCAAGGGUUCCUGUCCAACGUUAAUCGGGGCAGGGUGAGUCGACCCCUAAGGCGAGGCCGAAAGGCGUAGUCGAUGGGAAACAGGUUAAUAUUCCUGUACUUGGUGUUACUGCGAAGGGGGGACGGAGAAGGCUAUGUUGGCCGGGCGACGGUUGUCCCGGUUUAAGCGUGUAGGCUGGUUUUCCAGGCAAAUCCGGAAAAUCAAGGCUGAGGCGUGAUGACGAGGCACUACGGUGCUGAAGCAACAAAUGCCCUGCUUCCAGGAAAAGCCUCUAAGCAUCAGGUAACAUCAAAUCGUACCCCAAACCGACACAGGUGGUCAGGUAGAGAAUACCAAGGCGCUUGAGAGAACUCGGGUGAAGGAACUAGGCAAAAUGGUGCCGUAACUUCGGGAGAAGGCACGCUGAUAUGUAGGUGAAGUCCCUCGCGGAUGGAGCUGAAAUCAGUCGAAGAUACCAGCUGGCUGCAACUGUUUAUUAAAAACACAGCACUGUGCAAACACGAAAGUGGACGUAUACGGUGUGACGCCUGCCCGGUGCCGGAAGGUUAAUUGAUGGGGUUAGCCGCAAGGCGAAGCUCUUGAUCGAAGCCCCGGUAAACGGCGGCCGUAACUAUAACGGUCCUAAGGUAGCGAAAUUCCUUGUCGGGUAAGUUCCGACCUGCACGAAUGGCGUAAUGAUGGCCAGGCUGUCUCCACCCGAGACUCAGUGAAAUUGAACUCGCUGUGAAGAUGCAGUGUACCCGCGGCAAGACGGAAAGACCCCGUGAACCUUUACUAUAGCUUGACACUGAACAUUGAGCCUUGAUGUGUAGGAUAGGUGGGAGGCUUUGAAGUGUGGACGCCAGUCUGCAUGGAGCCGACCUUGAAAUACCACCCUUUAAUGUUUGAUGUUCUAACGUUGACCCGUAAUCCGGGUUGCGGACAGUGUCUGGUGGGUAGUUUGACUGGGGCGGUCUCCUCCUAAAGAGUAACGGAGGAGCACGAAGGUUGGCUAAUCCUGGUCGGACAUCAGGAGGUUAGUGCAAUGGCAUAAGCCAGCUUGACUGCGAGCGUGACGGCGCGAGCAGGUGCGAAAGCAGGUCAUAGUGAUCCGGUGGUUCUGAAUGGAAGGGCCAUCGCUCAACGGAUAAAAGGUACUCCGGGGAUAACAGGCUGAUACCGCCCAAGAGUUCAUAUCGACGGCGGUGUUUGGCACCUCGAUGUCGGCUCAUCACAUCCUGGGGCUGAAGUAGGUCCCAAGGGUAUGGCUGUUCGCCAUUUAAAGUGGUACGCGAGCUGGGUUUAGAACGUCGUGAGACAGUUCGGUCCCUAUCUGCCGUGGGCGCUGGAGAACUGAGGGGGGCUGCUCCUAGUACGAGAGGACCGGAGUGGACGCAUCACUGGUGUUCGGGUUGUCAUGCCAAUGGCACUGCCCGGUAGCUAAAUGCGGAAGAGAUAAGUGCUGAAAGCAUCUAAGCACGAAACUUGCCCCGAGAUGAGUUCUCCCUGACUCCUUGAGAGUCCUGAAGGAACGUUGAAGACGACGACGUUGAUAGGCCGGGUGUGU
rnacentral:rRNA from 1 species